UGCAGUCGAGCGGUAACAGGUGUAGCAAUACAUGCUGACGAGCGGCGAACGGGUGAGUAAUGCUUCGGAAUCUACCUUAUGGUGGGGAAUAACUAGCCGAAAGGUUAGCUAAUACCGCAUACGUCCUACGGGAGAAAGCAGGGGAUCGCAAGACCUUGCGCCAAAAGAUGAGCCGAAGUCGGAUUAGCUAGUUGGUAGGGUAACGGCCUACCAAGGCGACGAUCCGUAGCUGGUCUGAGAGGACGACCAGCCACACUGGGACUGAGACACGGCCCAGACUCCUACGGGAGGCAGCAGUGGGGAAUAUUGGACAAUGGGGGAAACCCUGAUCCAGCGACGCCGCGUGUGUGAAGAAGGCCUGCGGGUUGUAAAGCACUUUUAGUGGGGAUGAAAUGUGCAGGGCUAACACCUCUGCAUUUUGACCUAACCCACAGAAAAAGCACCGGCUAACUCUGUGCCAGCAGCCGCGGUAAUACAGAGGGUGCAAGCGUUAAUCGGAAUUACUGGGCGUAAAGCGUGCGUAGACGGUUACAUAAGUCGGGUGUGAAAGCCCCGGGCUCAACCUGGGAAUUGCAUUCGAGACUGCGUAGCUAGGGUGCGGAAGAGGGAAGCGGAAUUUCCGGUGUA
rnacentral:rRNA from 1 species